UACCUGGUUGAUCCUGCCAGUAGUCAUAUGCUUGUCUCAAAGAUUAAGCCAUGCAAGUCUAAGUACGAGCUCUCGUACAGUGAAACUGCGAAUGGCUCAUUAAAUCAGUUAUGGUUCAUUUGAUCGUACAGUUUACUUGGAUAACUGUGGUAAUUAUAGAGCUAAUACAUGCGAGAAGCGCCGACCUCGCGGGAGGCGUGCAUUUAUCAGACCAAAAACCGGCCGCGUCUUCGGGCGCGUUCGCCUUGGUGACUCUGGAUAACUUUGCGGAUCGCACGGUCUAGCACCGGCGACGGAUCAUUCAAGUGUCUGCCCUAUCA
rnacentral:ncRNA from 1 species